rnacentral:rRNA from 1 species
CUGCGGAAGGAUCAUUACCACACCANAAAAACUUUCCACGUGAACUGUCAUUGCAUGUUCUGUGCCUUUAAUNA